AGAUACAAGAUCUUGCUAUAUUGCUAGGACUGGUCUCAAACUUCUGGGCUCAAGCAAUCCUCCUGCCUCGGCCUCCCAGAGUACUGAGAUUACAGACAUGAGCCACCAUGCCCUGCCUGAACAAAAAUUUGAAUGUGAAUUUUCAUAGCAACAUUAUUCAUGAUAGCCAAAAGGUGGAAAAAAUCCAAACGCUCAUGAACGGAUGAAUAGGGGCUGCAGCAACAAAGUACCAUAAACUGGGAGACUUAAAACAAUAGAAAUUCUUCUCUCACUGUUUGGAAGCCGGAAGUCUGAAAUCAAGGCAUCAGCAGGGUUGGUUCUUCUGGAGGCUCCGAGGGAGAGGCGCUCCAUUCUUCCCUUCCAGCUUCUGGGGCUGCCAGCAACCCUUGGUGUGCCCCAGGUUUGCUCCCUGGUCUUUGAUCACUGCUUCCAUCCUUGCCUGGCCUUCUUCCUGCAUGUCUUCAUAGGGUGUUCUCAUCUCUGUGUGUCUCCGUCCAAGUUCCCCUCAUCUUACAAAGACACUAGCCAUUGGAUUAGAGCCCACCCUAAUUCAGCAAGACCUCAUCUUAACUGGAUUACAUCUCAAAGACCUGAUUUCCAAGUAAGAUCUGAUUCACAAGUACGGGGAUCAGGACUACAACAUCAUGUAUCUUUUUGGGAGGACACAAUUCAACCCACAACAAUCAGGUACAAUCAAAAACAAUAAAGAUACUUCCGGUGAUUAAAUGGUAAAAAAAAAAUUAGAAAAUAAAGAGAAAAGAGAACGUAAGCAAAGCCAAUUCAAAGGAAGAAAUAAAAAUGGAGAGGAGAUGAAAUGGGGAGAUGUCGGUCACAGCGUGCAAACUGAGUUACAAAAGGAACCAGCUCUGGAUCUCAGGUGCAGCAAGGGCAGUGAGGGGUGUGUUCAUUAAUUUGAUUCUGGUAAUCAUGACACAAUGUAUACCAAUCAUCAUGUUGUACACCUUGAAUAUAUGCAACCUUCAUUUGACAAUUAAAUAUUUUAAAAUUAAAAAAUUAAAAAAACAAGGCACAUUCUGGACACUAAAAUCCUGCUCCAGUGGGUACCAUUCUUCCUGAAUCCAGCUCCUUGAUUAUCCAGGAAUGCCAUGAUUACAAGUUUUAGCAAAGAACCCGGCCAAGUCCGUUCAGCCAGUGCCGCCAGCCUCUACGCUCUGAUCACCUGGAUAUCUGAUCAGAUUCCUCACUCUCCACCAUCUCCCAGGUAAUGUUGGGUCACCCUGGACUGUCUUCAGCCAGAGUCCCGUUAGGUGUGUUUAGCCUGAAUACUCCUUACCUGUAAUGUUUCCUUUUAGUAAUUUUCCACCCACUGACUGCCACCCUGCUCCUUGGUUAUAAACUCCCACUUGCCCAGGCAGUAUUCAGAGUUGAGCCCAAUCUCUGUCUCUCACCCACUCCAAGACCCCGUUGAGCGGUCCCUAUGCCCAUCCACAUGGUCCUGAAUAAAGUCUUCCUUACUGUGCUUUAGCAAGUGUCGUUGAAUUAUUUUUUCCUUAACAAAUUCAAUAUGAAAAAGAAGACUCAAUAGAAAGAUGGGCAAAGUAUA
rnacentral:lncRNA from 10 species